rnacentral:tRNA from 1 species
GAGGAUGUAGCUCAGUGGUAAAGCACAUGUUUAGCAUGUGUGAGGCCCUGGGUUUGAUCCCCAGCACCACA